GCCAGCGCUCGUACUGGACGAGGGGUGAAGCUCUUCCGAGAAAGGAGAAAAUCGGCCUGAAAGUUACAGCUUUCAUGAGUGAGAUGCCCAUAUCAAAAGUUCGGAGCGUGGGUGUCGGGAAGAAGUGAAAAGUGUCUGUGUAAACCACCCGAUAUCUGCUCUUACCUUUAUCUUCAACCUUCACAUAUCCUGCUGCCUAUCGGGGAGAUAAGAUUUGCUUACCUUUUUUUUUGUGUGUGUGUAUUUUGCUCAUUCUAAACAGGUGAGAUCAUUUUUUCUCUCUCAUUUAUGCUCAUUUCUAACCUACAUUUAGUCCUUCGUAAACCCUGUACAACUUCUUCAUUGGCGGUGUUAUAACGUAUAACGAGGCUCUUCUUCCUUCUAAGAGGCCCUAAAGCGUCAAGUUGUUUGCUU